GAGAGUGGCGCACGGGUGCGUAACACGUAUGUAACCUACCAUUGUCAGGGGGAUAGCCUCUCGAAAGAGAGAUUAACACCGCAUAACAUUACGAAUUAGCAUUAGUUUGUAAUCAAAUAUUKAUAGGACAAUGAUGGGCAUGCGGGACAUUAGCUAGAUGGUGAGGUAACGGCUCACCAUGGCGACGAUGUCUAGGGGAUCUGAGAGGAUGACCCCCCACACUGGUGCUGAGACACGGACCAGACUCCUACGGGAGGCAGCAGUAAGGAAUAUUGGUCAAUGGAGGCAACUCUGAACCAGCCAUGCCGCGUGCAGGAAGACGGCCCUACGGGUUGUAAACUGCUUUUGUACCGGAAUAAACCCAGAUACGAGUAUUUGGCUGAAUGUACGGUAAGAAUAAGCACCGGCUAACUCUGUGCCAGCAGCCGCGGUAAUACAGAGGGUGCAAGCGUUAAUCGGAAUUACUGGGCGUAAAGCGCGCGUAGGUGGUUUGUUAAGUUGGAUGUGAAAUCCCCGGGCUCAACCUGGGAACUGCAUUCAAAACUGACUGACUAGAGUAUGGUAGAGGGUGGUGGAAUUUCCUGUGUAGCGGUGAAAUGCGUAGAUAUAGGAAGGAACACCAGUGGCGAAGGCGACCACCUGGACUAAUACUGACACUGAGGUGCGAAAGCGUGGGGAGCAAACAGGAUUAGAUACCCUGGUAGUCCACGCCGUAAACGAUGUCAACUAGCCGUUGGAAGCCUUGAGCUUUUAGUGGCGCAGCUAACGC
rnacentral:rRNA from 1 species